CUUCAGAUCAACCAAACAAGCAUACAAACAUAGAAAUAAAAACCUUGGAAACCCCUACUCCUCAUCUUUAGAACUGCACUCAAUUUCUCUUUCCGCACCUCCCCACCCUGUGACAUGCUGCCAACAUGGCAGUGCCUGGCAGGCAAACUGGAUUCUCCUGGUUGAGUACCUGGCUCAGAGGCAGGCACUGGAAGUGGGAAUUGGCAGCUACAGGCUUUCUGGCCUGAGGAGUCCCCUGAAGUCUGAAGAUACAGCGGACUUGGGCAGACAGUACAUCUUCCUGAAAAGAAUCAACCAGUUAGUCAACUCCUUUCCCCUACGGAUGUCCUGGUCACCAAGGUGCGGUUGCGAAGAAGUCGAUUUCUUUUGGAGCAUACACCCUCACCGAAGUUCUCCUAGAACACAACAGCUGCUGCCAACAUGUGGGUACCUUGGAGGG